CUUGAAAAGUGGAGCUGGUUGCGCUGAUCACACGGAUUCCCACAUCAUUAUCUAGAAGCAAGAAAUCAUAUAUUCGUUACAUCGCGACGUUUACUGGCAGUCCUCCGAAGGCAUAAUGUUUCUCAGUGAUUUCUUCCUUGUCAUCAAUUAAAGGUAAAUCAAAAGUUACUUAGCUAUUCCCGCGGAUGCUUUGUGGCACUUCAAUCCAAUCUCUUGGAAAUACGUGUGAAUGGAGAGUGACAGUCAGGAGGAUGACAGAGAAAGGGGGUAAUUCCCUCCCCCCAGAUGCAGACACAUCAAAUUGACAAUGGUUUAAUAUUCCAACAAGGGCAGGCAAUAGACAGGUCAAGACAGGCAGGGGUCAGUAAACCAGAAUUGGGGCAACGGUACCGGAUGGCAGGCCGGCUCAGGGGCAGGCAGAGUGGUCAGGCAGGAGGGCUCAGAGUCAGGCAGGAGGGCUCAGAGUCAGGACAGACAAAACCAGGAGCACGAGAAAAUAGAGACUGGGGAAAAGCAGGAGCUGACCCCCCCCCAAAAAAUAAAAAUGCUGGUUGACUUCGCA